rnacentral:rRNA from 1 species
AUACGGAGGGUCCGAGCGUUAUCCGGAAUCAUUGGGUUUAAAGGGUCCGUAGGCGGGAAUCUAAGUCAGUGGUGAAAUCUUGCAGCUCAACUGUAAAAUUGCCAUUGAUACUGGAUUUCUUGAAUUAGUGUGAAGUGGUUAGAAUGUGUAGUGUAGCGGUGAAAUGCAUAGAUAUUACACAGAAUACCAAUUGCGAAGGCAGAUCACUCACACUAUAUUGACGCUAAGGGACGAAAGCGUGGGGAGCGAACAGGAUUAGAAACCCGGGUAGUCC